rnacentral:lncRNA from 1 species
CAAAUUGAGACUAGCAAGAUUUUUUUAAUUUUUUAUUAUAAACAUAAUCCAAAGACGAAAGGGGAAAAGGGAAAAGUCAGAAAAUGAUUCCUUCAUCAGUCAACCAAACAUACUCAGAGGAGCGAUUAACAUACACAACUGAAAAUCCAGUACCCAAUAAACCAAAAACACCAACAGAUCACUCAAAUACACAGUUAGGCACAUGAACCCAUAUCAUAUAAUGAAGAAACAAAUGCAAAAUGCUGAAACAAAUGAAGAAAGAUAGAUUUUUGAGUGGCGGGUGGGAGGAAAAGUACCAAAAAUGUCAGAGGCGAGAAGAAUAGCAAGCUUGGAGUCAGGGGAGCCAGUGACAUAGGUGUCCAGACCACCGAACUUCUCAACAUGGCCGGAGCCGCCGGAUGGGUCCAGUGUUGGUGGGUUCGAGCAGCACUGAGGGCCUGACAUUUGUUUGUUUUUCUCUGAACCACAAAAAUGCACAAACACACUCUCUGCCUCUCUAUUCGAAUGAGCGAGAAGGUUACGGAUGAAGGCAAAGGUUAAACUACCACAAAAAAGAAAAAUAAAAAAAGGUGUGCACGUUCAACUAUAUGACAACGACUAGUCAAAGUUCUGGAAUUUAAGAAGCCAGGUGAAAAUUUAUGGAGGAGUUGAAAAGGUGUAACUCCAAUGAUUCGUAUCCACCUCCAACAAUAGCAAAUAUUUUUCUCACCACUUUAAUCCUAUUUUUUAUUUGGAUAAGAAAAAAUAAUUCAGAAUUUAGUUAUAAUUUAAAAUUUAAAAUUAAGAAAUUGACAAUUCCCUUAUUUGACAAUUUAAGUGCAUACUUUAUUAAAUGAUGCAUACAAAAAAUCGUGGAAAUUAGAGCAUCAAAUUUCCUAAUUUAAUUUCCACUAAAAUAAAUGUCAUUUCACAGUUUUCAUAGUGCCAUUUACAAAAAUUUGUCACGUACAGUGUAGAGACAGUGUUUGUAUGGAAAAAAAAAACACAUUUAUAGUGUUUUUAUAUAUAUUUUAACUUUACCCAUUUUAAUAACACUAUCUACAAGUUUUAAUAUUUGCAAGGGUUUAUAGCUCAAAUAGUAAGCAUUUCUCUCUACACCUAGGGCUCGUUUGGUACACAGGACUGUCUUGGCAUGGACUAUGUUUAGGGACUGGUUUGGCUUGGCUUGGCUUGGUCUAAGUUGGAUAACACUUAUCCUGCGUUUGGUGUAUGCUUGGACUAGGACUAGAAUUUUUUUUAUUUUUUUAAAAAUAUCUAUAUAUAUGUAUAUAUGUAUUUUAUAAUAUAUAUAUAUAUAUAUAUGUAUAUAUAUACAUAUAUACAUACAUAUAAUAUAUAUAUGUAUAUAUACAUGUAUAUAAGUAUAUUAUAAUAAUAUUAUAUAUUUUAAAUAAUAUAAACGUACAUACAUAUAUAUAAGUGUAUAUAGGUGUAUAUAUGUAUAUUAUAAUAUACAUGGGUAUAAUACAUAUACAUAUAUUUAUAUAUAUGUAUGUAUAAUAUAAUAUAUAAUAUAUAUAUGGGUAUGUUAUAAUAAUAAUAGGGAUAUACAUGUAUAUACGUGUAUAUAUGUAUAUUAUAUAUGUAUUUAUAUAUACAUAUACAUUAUAUAUAUUAUAAAAUACAUAUGUAUAUAUAAUAUAUGUAUAUAUAUUAUAUAUUAUAAUAUACAUAUAUAUAUACGUAUAUACAUGUAUAUAAUAUAUGUGUAUAUAGGUGUAUCUAUAUAUUAUAAUAUAUACAUGGGUAUAAUACAUAUACAUAUAUAUGUAUAUUAUAAUAGAUAAUAUAUAUGGGUAUGUUAUAAUAAUAAUAUACAUGUAUAUAUGUAUAUUAUAAUAUAUAUACAUAUAGUAUAAAUAUAUAAUGUAUAUGUGUAUAUACGUGUGUAUAUGUAUAUUAUAAUACAUACAUGGGUAUAAUAUAUAUACACAUAUAUGUAUAUAUACUUAUAUAUAUUACAUAUAUACAUGUAUGCUAUUAUUAUAAUAUUAAUAUGUAUGUGUAUAUGAGUAUAUUAUAAUAAUAAUAUACGUGUAUAUAUCUAUAUGUAUUUAUAUAUUAUAUAUGUAUAUAUGUGUUUAUAUAUAUAUGUAUAUACGUGUAUAUAUGUACAUUAAUAUAUAAUAUAAUAUAUAUUACAUAUAUACAUGUAUACAUGUAUGUAUUAUUAUAAUAUUAAUAUGUAUGUGUAUAUGAGUAUAUUAUAAUAAUAAUAUAUGUGUAUAUAUCUAUAUGUAUAUAUAUAUAUAUAUAUUAUAUAUGUAUAUAUGUAUUUAUAUAUAUACAUGUGUAUGUGUAUAUACAUGUAUAUAUGUACAUUAUAGUAUAUUUGUAUGUAAUAAUAAUAAUAAUAAUAAUAUAUGUUAUUAGUAUUACAAUAUAAUAUAUGCAUCUUAUAUAUUGGUGAACAUAGGACUAGCUAAUCCUCCCUUUCUACAUGGGUUUAGUAGUCCCCUCCUAGUGAGGUAUUUUUGGUGGGCCCGGUAUUAGCAGUCUCAUCUAAGACUAGAAUUAAAUGAAACAAACAUGGUACUAAAUUUAGUCCAAUCCAGUCCAAGCCAAGCCUGUGUACCAAACGACCCCCUAAGGUCUUAGGUUCAAUUCUCCCUUCUCCUUAAUAUCGCUUGUAUAAAAAUAAUAAAAAACACUCAAGUCACCACUCUAUUGACGGAAGUCCUAACUUGACAAUUCCGUAACACCAAAGUUGGUGAGUUUCUAUAGUGUUGAAUGUAUCGGCCUUCCUAUCCCUUCCACACCAAAAAACGAAAAUGAUUGAACUAGAUUUCAAAGAGUGGAACAAGUUUCCUUUUUUUAUUCAAGUGCAUCAAUUUAUUGCAAAGGACUUAAUAGCUUAGUUGGCUAAGAGCAUUCACCUUGCACUCGAAGUGUUGAGCUCAAAUUCCUCCUUCCACAGUAUUAUUUGUUUCUUAAAAAAGAUGGCGCAUCAAUUAUUAUAAAAUUAUGAUGUCUAUAUAACUCUCAUUUUUGGCAAUGCAUAAGACAUUUCCAGUGGUAGAUGGAUGCUGAGAAAUGCAAAGGAUCAGGAUAUGCAGUCGGAGUUUUUUUCUAGCUACAGAGAAGCCCAAGCCACAACCAAGAAGUUCUUUAAAUACUAUAUCGUAACAUAAAAGUCCAGGUGUGGUUCAAGAAACACUACAGUGAUGAUCUGAUUCCCCUGACAUGGUUCAAGAACCACUCCAACAAGUUUUGAUGAGCCUCCUCAGCACACUUAACAGCUGCUUCGUCUUCAACAUUGUACCUCACGGUCCAACCGUGUGCCACUUUCGGAAAUAUCUUCACAUGGCUUUUAACCUGUAUACACAAAAUAAAACCAACAGUCGUUUCAACAAAUUUGAAAUGUUUCUCACUACCAGCUAGCUACCACGGUGGUGCCUCUUUCCCCAUCAAGGUCUUGAGAGUCUAUGAACCCUAAUUUGAAUGGGGUGUUUUUGGUAUCUUCCUAUCGUUUCUUAAAGAAUAAAGAACAAAAGUAAAAUGUUUUGAAGUUCAAACAAAAUGGUAUCUGAUCUUGUAAGGAAAAGUUCUACCUAUAACUAUAAGCCAUGGCAUAAUUAGAUGCCAUAAUUUAUAAGAAAAACAAGGGCACCAGUAAUGAAGAUUGUUUGGAUCAAAGAUAUUCCUACCUCAGACUUCGCAGUUAAAACCUCUUCAAAUUGCUUCACGACUUCAGGUGGAGACAUAUGGUCAAUCUCAGCUCCAAGUAUAGAAAUAGGAACCUUAACAGCUGAAAAAAGUAGUUCCAGGAAUAGAUCAUUAAACUGUGACUGAUUUUUACCUUGUUUUAUUUAUUUAUAAUCUUUCUCAAAUAUCUAAACACUUGAAAACAAUAAUUAGAGUGAGAGAAGAAUAUAUACACACACACACACACACACACAUGGAGCUUCAGUUGAGAGAUCCCUGAAAUAAGCUUAUUUGAGAGACACCCUUGUAGGGCCCACUCCGUAUUGUAUUUCACUAAUCCAAACCGUCUAUUUUGUAGAUACUCAUUCAAAGAUCAUCUUUACAAAAAAUCACUUGAAUCCGAUAUCAUUUGAUCACUCAAUUUAAUUAUUGAAAUUUAGUACUUUCUUGAAGCGCCGUAUUAAUUGAUUUUGUAGGACACAAUUGGAUAUUGAAACGGUUUCCGAUUUGUCUAAUUUUUUAUAAGGAUGAUCUAUGAAUGUAGACUUAAAAAAUAGAUAGUUUCGAUCGUUGAAAAAAUAUUUGUAGGGAACCCUAAAGGGUGUUAUUUGAGGGAUCCCUCAAUAGAAGAGGACUGAUAUAUAUAUAUAUAUAUAUAUAUAUAUUUCUUUUCAAACUUUGCUGGUAGGCAUAGAGGGAACAGGGUGUGGGCACAAAUAGAAAGCACCCUAAUUGUGAUACUUGUUUAAAAUGAUAAUUAUACUAACUAGGUAGGCAUUUUCUGGAUAUUACAUACAGAAAUCUUACCCUUGAUAUCAUCCACAAUGACAAAUGAAGGAUGACAGAGAACAGCAGCUUGGAUAAAGUCGUGCUUUGCAAGUUCAACCACAACCUUACCUGAGAACAGGACAGAAAUCUAUGUCAACAGAACAAUAUUUUCCAUAUGGGUUAAACUAAUGAAAUGAGGGUGUGAUAAGUAAAAAGACUGCAUAAAUGUUAGCAUAAAAAAAAAAAAAUCUAAAUAGGAGACAUUUUUGUUUAAUGCAAGGCAAAAUGAAACAUAGUGACGAAGAUGUUAAUGAGAAGGGAAAAUUAACGCACCUCCCCAACAGAAGCCUGCAGCACCGACUGCAGAAAAACCUUUCCUUCUUAAAGCUCCAAGAACUGGUUUUGCAUCUUCAAAUCCGUUGGCCUAUCAACAAAAAUAGAUUCAGACGCUAAUUUUUUUUACAAUACUUGUAUAAUCCAAUAUUGAUAGCAACGUUUGUAACACCACAUUAUCAGGGAUACAUAUUUAACAUUGCGCAAAAUGUCCCAGCAGUGACAACUAUAAAAAGUUUAACAUAACAACAGUUAUUGGACUGCCAAACUUUCUUAUGACUGCCAAGCUGAAUCCAUAAACAUAAGAAUCUGAAAUUUUUAUGCAAACUCAAUGAUACUUGUAAAAGUACUUGGGUUAUAAAACAGAACAAAAUAGAUAAACAUAAAAGUAAAAGUAACAGCAAAAGAACGGACCGGUCCAUGAUCUUUUAUCCAAACAGGUAGAGGUCUAUUGGCAUCUUCAGGUGCAUAAGGGUCUCCGUACAAGAAGUCAGGGACAACAACAAAGAACCCAGCAGCUGCAACUUUGUCAGCAAGCUUCCUUCAAAAUGGAAGGCAGGUUGCAUUAGUUCAAGAGUGUAGAAGAUUAUGGAAUCAAGGAAAUGCAAUUCUACACACAUUUGUUCUUCAAAGAAAAUCUCUGUGUCAGUAACUGGGAGGAUAAAUUUUCAUCCUCAUAUAUAUUACAGAGUGAACACUCUAAAUAAAGGUAGGGAUCUUCAAAGCAUCAGAAAAUCUCAAAAAGGCAGGGAAUUCGACCGUUGUUAUAUCUGAUAGACAACUUGAAACUAAGGAGGGAAUUCGACUGUUGUUAUAUCUGAUAGACAACCUGAAACUAAUGGUUUUGUAACUAUUUUUCAAGAUUUAGUUACAUAUAGACCUAUUAUAACCUUUUUUUAACCCUCAAUGACUGUACUCUUCAAGCAAAUUAUUCCAAAGUGCACACCAAGUCAUCAAAUUUAAUCAACAAGAGUAACUGCUGGCCAGGAGUCGAUAUUAGAGAAGGGACUGUUUGAACUAUAUGCACUAACAAUGAAUACGCUGUAAACAAUGUGAAACAGAUAUGAGAAUAAGUCAUACCUCAAGUUUGGAGCUUCAAAUCCUGCAUGACAAAGCAACAUGUAAUAUUAAAAGUAGUGUGGUGAUAUAACAUCACAGCAAACAAUUAUAUAAGAUGAUUUGAAUAAUCAGAUACAAAUGAAUAAUCGUAUUUUAAAAAGAACAUUCUUUCUCAAUUGACAGAGAAAAUAAAAAAAAGAUAAGUAUCCCACUAAAAGUACACACGAAGGCGAAAAUAAAGUUUUGAUAUCAUAAAAGUAUUUUCAUAACCAAAUUGAACAUAAUUGAAGCUAGAUUAUCAAACAUCAUGAAGGACGCAGAUAACCCACAAAGGGAAAGGGGAAACGAAAAUGACAUAAACUGAUUCCUCCAACCUUCAGCAGUAAACCAAACAAAAUCAGAGCAUCCAUUAACAUGCACAGCCUAAAAAUCAGUGCCCAUUGAACCAACAACCCAUCAAAUGCACAAUAAGGCAAGAACAACAAAACCCAUAUCACACAAUGAAGUAAAAAUGCAAACUAUUAAACCAAACGGAAAGAAAAAAAGAGACGGGUUUUUGAAGUGGUGGGCAAGUACCAAAAAUGUCAGAGACGAGAAGAAUAGCAAGCUUGGAGUCAGGGGAGCCAGUGACAUAGGAGUCGAGACCACCAAGCUUUUCAACAUGGCCGGAGCCACUUGAUGGGUUGAUGGUUGGAGGGUUUGAGCAGCACUGAGGGCCUGACAUCCUUUCUUCUUCUCUGAUCACAAAAUGCACAAACACACACCACUGCGCAUCAAAGGCGUG